AGUUCAUCCCUCAACUCUGUAACGAAUAAGAAAAGUUUUGGUUUCUCGUGGGCAUUUAAUCGCGUUCUCUGAACAGCUUGAAUCCUGGAUCGUUUUCGUGGGAAACAAGGAGAUCGUUUUCGUCGUUUUGCUACAUUCCAGAUUGAUCGCCUGAUGAAUCUGUGUCAUUUCUGUUGAUUUGGAUUCGGUUCUGAUAUCUUCAUCGCUGGAGAUACUGAGUUUUAGGUUUUCGAAGUUUUUAUUGGACGGAAUGCACAUUCCUUUGGUUGUCAAUUGCACAGAUUAGACUCCUGGUCACAACCUUGGGAUGGUGAAUGCCAUACUUGGCUGGAGAAUCAUGCCUUCAUAUAGUGAAAUUGGCCCAUCCAGAAGGACUCGAGGAGCCGAUUAUGCCUAUUUUAUUACGUGAAGUUCUCAAUGGGUGUUGGGAAUUGCUUGGCACACACUUGAACUUGCCCCGUUUUCCAAGUUCUACCUAUGAAGAAAGAGUAUAUUCGUGGAGUGAAUGCCUGGAAUUCCAACCUCAAUGAUUUGAGAAGUCAGGGUGCCCUCGUAUGUAACUUUCUUUAGAAAGAAGCGGCAUGCUGUCUACUUCAUGCUCUGACUAAUUUUGUUCUUGAUUUGGAUGAAGUAAUGCUCUGUGUUUCAACUUUUUGCCAGCAGAUUCAGGAUCAUGCAGGUAACGGAUGUGGGAGUAAAUGAAAGGCAAGAAGAUAAAUAGGAGUUUGGCUUACAUGCAAGAGAAGACAUUAGUGGAAAAAUUGGCUGUUCCAACACUACACCUAGCUGUGAGUUCUCCUUGCCUAAUAAGUCAAUCUUUAUUUGGUAUCAAUCUUUAUCUGCAGUGGUGGAC